UACGAAGGGGGGCUAGCGUUGCUCGGAAUCACUGGGCGUAAAGGGUGCGUAGGCGGGUCUUUAAGUCAGGGGUGAAAUCCUGGAGCUCAACUCCAGAACUGCCUUUGAUACUGAAGAUCUUGAGUUCGGGAGAGGUGAGUGGAACUGCGAGUGUAGAGGUGAAAUUCGUAGAUAUUCGCAAGAACACCAGUGGCGAAGGCGGCUCACUGGCCCCGAUACUGACGCUGAGGCACGAAAAGCGUGGGGGAGCAAACAGG
rnacentral:rRNA from 1 species